rnacentral:rRNA from 1 species
UACGGAGGAUCCAAGCGUUAUCCGGAUUCAUUGGGUUUAAAGGGUGCGUAGGCGGAACGAUAAGUCAGUGGUGAAAGCCUGUAGCUUAACUACAGAACUGCCAUUGAUACUGUCGAUCUUGAGUAUAUUUGAUGUGGGCGGAAUGUGUCAUGUAGCGGUGAAAUGCUUAGAUAUGACACAGAACACCGAUUGCGAAGGCAGCUCACAAAACUAUAACUGACGCUGAGGCACGAAAGCGUGGGGAUCAAACAGG